CAGUCGAACGAAGCACUUUAUUUGAUUUCCUUCGGGACUGAUUAUUUUGUCACUGAGUGGCGGACGGGUGAGUAACGCGUGGGUAACCUGCCUUGUACAGGGGGAUAACAGUUGGAAACGGCUGCUAAUACCGCAUAAGCGCACGGCAUCGCAUGAUGCAGUGUGAAAAACUCCGGUGGUAUAAGAUGGACCCGCGUUGGAUUAGCUAGUUGGUGAGGUAACGGCCCACCAAGGCGACGAUCCAUAGCCGACCUGAGAGGGUGACCGGCCACAUUGGGACUGAGACACGGCCCAAACUCCUACGGGAGGCAGCAGUGGGGAAUAUUGCACAAUGGGCGAAAGCCUGAUGCAGCGACGCCGCGUGAGCGAAGAAGUAUUUCGGCAUGUAAAGCUCUAUCAGCAGGGAAGAUAAUGACGGUACCUGACUAAGAAGCACCGGCUAAAUACGUGCCAGCAGCCGCGGUAAUACGUAUGGUGCAAGCGUUAUCCGGAUUUACUGGGUGUAAAGGGAGCGCAGGCGGUGCGGCAAGUCUGAUGUGAAAGCCCGGGGCUCAACCCCGGUACUGCAUUGGAAACUGUCGUACUAGAGUGUCGGAGGGGUAAGCGGAAUUCCUAGUGUAGCGGUGAAAUGCGUAGAUAUUAGGAGGAACACCAGUGGCGAAGGCGGCUUACUGGACGAUAACUGACGCUGAGGCUCGAAAGCGUGGGGA
rnacentral:rRNA from 1 species